GUGCUCACUUGGGCAGGACAUAUACUAAAAUUUGAAUACAAAAAAGAUUAGCAUGGCUCCUGCACAAGGAUGACAUGCAAAUCUGUGAAGUGUUCCACAUUUAA